rnacentral:lncRNA from 1 species
GAGAGAACAUUUAGGAAAGAGAUUUCAAAGAGAUUACAAGGAAAAUCUCCCAAAAGCACAAAAGGGCCAUUCAAAGUAAAAGAGAGAAAAGAAGAACAUCCAAGUGAAUCCCAAAGCUUCCUCUCCAAUUGUGUGCUGCCUCGGUGAUCCUCUACUUCGUGCAAAAUCAGAAGAGGGUCAAGUAAAGAAGAAGCCGAGUUCCUUCAUCUACAAAUUUGUUUGAGGGCUUCUUCUCUUUACUUUACUUGUUUAUAUUUGCUAUAUUUGCUUAUUUGAGAAGCUUGUAUUUGAUUUAAACUCUUGUUCUAAUAUCUUGUAACUUGAUUCAAUCCCUUGAUUGAAUCAAGGGGUUAAGGUUUGUUGGUGAGCCAAAGGGAAAACCAACGUUGUAAGGUUGUGGUUGGUGAGCCUUUGGAAAAACCAACUGGGUUGAUUAUGAACCCGGAAAACAAUCGUUGUAAGGUUGUGGUUGGUGAGCCUU